rnacentral:rRNA from 1 species
AGAGUUUGAUCCUGGCUCAGAUUGAACGCUGGCGGCAUGCUUUACACAUGCAAGUCGGACGGCAGCACAGGGAAGCUUGCUUCUCGGGUGGCGAGUGGCGAACGGGUGAGUAACAUAUCGGAACGUACCGGGUAGCGGGGGAUAACUGAUCGAAAGAUCAGCUAAUACCGCAUACGUCUUGAGAGGGAAAGCAGGGGACCUUCGGGCCUUGCGCUAUCCGAGCGGCCGAUAUCUGAUUAGCUGGUUGGCGGGGUAAAGGCCCACCAAGGCGACGAUCAGUAGCGGGUCUGAGAGGAUGAUCCGCCACACUGGGACUGAGACACGGCCCAGACUCCUACGGGAGGCAGCAGUGGGGAAUUUUGGACAAUGGGCGCAAGCCUGAUCCAGCCAUGCCGCGUGUCUGAAGAAGGCCUUCGGGUUGUAAAGGACUUUUGUCAGGGAAGAAAAGGCCGUUGCCAAUAUCGGCGGCCGAUGACGGUACCUGAAGAAUAAGCACCGGCUAACUACGUGCCAGCAGCCGCGGUAAUACGUAGGGUGCGAGCGUUAAUCGGAAUUACUGGGCGUAAAGCGGGCGCAGACGGUUACUUAAGCAGGAUGUGAAAUCCCCGGGCUCAACCCGGGAACUGCGUUCUGAACUGGGUGACUCGAGUGUGUCAGAGGGAGGUGGAAUUCCACGUGUAGCAGUGAAAUGCGUAGAGAUGUGGAGGAAUACCGAUGGCGAAGGCAGCCUCCUGGGAUAACACUGACGUUCAUGUCCGAAAGCGUGGGUAGCAAACAGGAUUAGAUACCCUGGUAGUCCACGCCCUAAACGAUGUCAAUUAGCUGUUGGGCAACUUGAUUGCUUGGUAGCGUAGCUAACGCGUGAAAUUGACCGCCUGGGGAGUACGGUCGCAAGAUUAAAACUCAAAGGAAUUGACGGGGACCCGCACAAGCGGUGGAUGAUGUGGAUUAAUUCGAUGCAACGCGAAGAACCUUACCUGGUUUUGACAUGUGCGGAAUCCUCCGGAGACGGAGGAGUGCCUUCGGGAGCCGUAACACAGGUGCUGCAUGGCUGUCGUCAGCUCGUGUCGUGAGAUGUUGGGUUAAGUCCCGCAACGAGCGCAACCCUUGUCAUUAGUUGCCAUCAUUCGGUUGGGCACUCUAAUGAGACUGCCGGUGACAAGCCGGAGGAAGGUGGGGAUGACGUCAAGUCCUCAUGGCCCUUAUGACCAGGGCUUCACACGUCAUACAAUGGUCGGUACAGAGGGUAGCCAAGCCGCGAGGCGGAGCCAAUCUCACAAAACCGAUCGUAGUCCGGAUUGCACUCUGCAACUCGAGUGCAUGAAGUCGGAAUCGCUAGUAAUCGCAGGUCAGCAUACUGCGGUGAAUACGUUCCCGGGUCUUGUACACACCGCCCGUCACACCAUGGGAGUGGGGGGAUACCAGAAGUAGGUAGGGUAACCGCAAGGAGUCCGCUUACCACGGUAUGCUUCAUGACUGGGGUGAAGUCGUAACAAGGUAGCCGUAGGGGAACCUGCGGCUGGAUCACCU